UAUAAACAAGGAAACAUAUCUAAACCCUUGUCGUCUAAAUCCUGUUAUAUUAAAAUUACUCAUGUAAAAUAAAGUUACAACUUACUGAAGUACCCAAAAACAAAUGCUUUGUAAAUGUUAAAUGAACAUUUAAUUUUAGAUUUAGGAGCCUUUUUAAAACUGAAUGUCAACAACACAAAAAACUGAAACGUGGUGCAUAAUGGCGGAAGGCAGGUAUAGGCAGAAUUAUGAAAAUGAAUAUCACCAGCUGGACGACAAAAAUUCAUAUGUUGAACUGAUCCCGAAUUUGGAAACAGAUUUCGAAGAGGUAGAAGCAAUAACACAUCAUAAUACAUCGAGGAUUUGUUUAAAAACAGUUGUCAUCUCCGUCUUCUCUGUCGCAGUCGUCGGCUUUUUAACGAUGACAGUUUUAUAUAUUCAGGAAAGAAGUAAACGGCAAAAUGAAAAUGACGGUAAAUUUUAUACUUUCAAAAUACUGUAUUUAAUGCAU